GACGAACGCUGGCGGCGCGCUUAACACAUGCAAGUCGAACGUGAAGCUGGAGCUUGCUCCGGUGGAAAGUGGCGAACGGGUGCGUAACACGUGAGCAACCUGCCCCGAAGACUGGGAUAACACCGGGAAACCGGUGCUAAUACCGGAUACCUUCUUCCGAUCGCAUGGUUGGAUGAAGAAAUGGAUUCCGCUUCGGGAUGGGCUCGCGGCCUAUCAGCUUGUUGGUGAGGAACGGCCCACCAAGGCGACGACGGGUAGCUGGUCUGAGAGGAUGGCCAGCCACAUUGGGACUGAGAUACGGCCAGACUCCUACGGGAGGCGGCAGUGGGGAAUCUUGCGCAAUGGCCUAAACGGCUGACGCAGCGACGCCGCGUGAGGGAUGACGCUCUUCGGAGUGUAAACCUCUUUUGCCCGGACGAAUUCCCCAGCUUUAGCUGGGUUGACGGUACCGGGUGAAUAAGAC
rnacentral:rRNA from 1 species